rnacentral:lncRNA from 1 species
UGGACUGUGUGAUUUUUGUUCUUUAGUAGAAGGAUAACAUGACAUAGCAGGAAUAAUACUGCCUUUUCUUUCUGGCAUGGAUCAAGAGAAAAGAAAAUACAAGAAAACAGACAGAAGAUCCUAUCUGCGACAAUUAAGAGCACUCUAAGAGGAAAACACAUCCCACCACACAAGGCAAGGUACUUCUAUGGAAGGGUGAGCCCUCACAGAUGGAGCAAUGGGGCGCGCACACCUGAACAAGGGAGGGGAAGGAGUUCUUAUCCCUGAUGCAUGUGACCCCUGCUGCUGUGUCCUUCCCCUAUUGGCUAAGGCUUCUGACAGCUUUGGAGAUUGUGACAUUGGAAUAAAGGAAAAACGUACAGGACUCAUGAAGCGCUGAAAUGUUCACAAAUAUCAAGCAAAAGUCAAUGAAAUUUAUUUUGAGCUAUUUACAUCAUUUAAUAAUUGAGCAAGGUAUACUCCUAUGAACAAAAUUUGGAGCAUGUUUGUCUCUCUCUGCCUGGCGUCUUCAGAAUUUGGAAACUAGUUAUGGUUUAUAAUCAGCUAUAGAAUUUUAACACGUGCUCUCAAAUGCAAGUUUCUGAUAACUUUGGAGAUUGUGACAUUGGAAUAAAGGAAGAGCUGGAAUGUUCAUGAAUAUCAAGCAAAAGUCAUGGAAAUUUAUUUUGAGCUAUUUACAGCAUUUAAUAAUUGAGCAAGGUAUACUCCUAUGAACAAAAUUUGGAGCAUGUUUGUCUCUCUCUGUCUGCCUGGCAUCUACAGAAUUUGGAAACUAGUUUCGUUCCCAGAUUUCCUAAACUUUCCAGAGAAAAUGGUCUUCUCCCUGGCUCAGCAAGAAGAUGAACUUUAAACACUGAGAAACUGGUCAUCUCCCUGGCUCAACCAGAAGAUGAACUUUAAACACUACUCUCAAUGACUUGAUGUUCCCAUCACUACUCCUGUCAUAAAGGGAGGGGACUCAGAUAUUGAGAAUUUUAUGAUAGUGUGAACUGUCUGGUAUGUCAUUUAAGUAAGCCCGUUGCUGAAAUAUUUUCCAUGUUAUUAGAAAGAGCUGAAGAGAGGGAUUGAGAUGGCUUCUUUAUUUUUUGUCUUUUGGGAAUUAAAGGAACCUGGUUCAACAAGGGCCUACACCUAAGUCUCUUGUUGUACCAGAGUACAAUUUAGGACUGCUCCUGAGGAAGGAAUUAGCUAGAAAUCUAGAGAGUAAGGGUAACAGAUUUACAUAGAAUAACAGCCUCAGUAUUUUUGGUUCCUCUCCAGUAAAGAUCACAAAGAAUAUUGCUAAAUCGCUAAAACACCUUUGCAAUAACGUAAGGGCUUACAACUAUAUACCAAUGUAGCUCAGUUACUAAACUGGAGUAAACUAAUUUCUCUUGUGUAGAAAAAUUGGUUGGCUGUGGUUUUAUAGCAGAUCUGCAAUUAUUAAUAGUUAUGCCAAUAAUCGUUUAACAGUGCAUAUGUUAAUAUAUAUGGAAAGACAAUGUGUAUAGACAGAUGUGUAAAAUUGAAAAAUAAACAUAUAACAAGAGAGAAACAUCUAUCGAACAGACAAUAUACAUACACAUCAAACACAACAGCAGUUUUAGUGACCAUAAUAUUUAUUUCUCAUUUUUACAUUGCUUACUUUAGUGACAACUGAAAAUGACAGUUGGCAAUGCAGCUAACAGUUUCAAUAAAAGUAUAAAACAAAAGACUGUGUACAAAGCACCUGUCUUUCCGCUUUUGUAAUCUUCCGUUGGAAAAAAUUUACACACCUAAGUAACCAUCUGUUUUCUUCAAGAAAAAAUCAUUCUUAUUUCUCUCUCUCAUCUUGAAAACAGCUGUCAGCCAGGAGGGCAGAGCUGAAAUUUAUUGCCACAUCACAUGAAGCAUAGAACAGACUCCACUACUCCUUGAGAUUCAAAACUUUGCCUCUCACAAAGUUACCUUUUAUUUUCCUCUUGUUUGUCACUCAUCUCCCCUAGUGUGCUCUUUUUAUUUCUUUUACUAUUAAUAAUAAAAUCUGUGGAUGACUGUA